rnacentral:lncRNA from 1 species
CUUUCUUCAUUCUCUGCUGAUAUAACUGACCAUGACACAUGGCAGUUAAUCGCUUCUCUUCAAUCAGAUUCAACUGGUCACAACGACUCUGAAUCCAUUCAGCAUCAGUCAACUAGGGACUUUGAGGGUAUCAGGCUUCUUUUAUUCUUUUUUUUCUAUUUGAAAUUUUUUUCCAGAUUUUUGCCUUUACUUUGAUUUUUCACCCUCUUCUCUUUUUUUUUUCUUUUACAUUACAUUUGUAAUGCCCCAGUUUGACUAUUGCUGGGUUCUUGAGACGCAGCCGAAUGAUCUGCUUUUCAUUGCUCAAGUGUUCG